GAUGAACGCUGGCGGCGUGCCUAAUACAUGCAAGUCGAGCGAACAGACGAGAGUGCUUGCACUCUCUGACGUUAGCGGCGGACGGGUGAGUAACACGUGGGUAACCUACCUAUAAGACUGGGAUAACUUCGGGAAACCGGAGCUAAUACCGGAUAAUAUUUAGCUUCGCAUGAAGCAAUAGUGAAAGACGGUUCUGCUGUCACUUAUAGAUGGACCCGCGGUGUAUUAGCUAGUUGGUGAGGUAACGGCUCACCAAGGCAACGAUACAUAGCCGACCUGAGGGGGUGAUCGGCCAACCUGGGACGGAGACCCGCCCCAGACCCCUAGGGGGGGAAGCAGUGGGGAAUUUUCCGAAAGGGCCGAAAGUCUGACGGAGCAAUGCCGCGUGGGGGAAGAAGUUUUUCGGAUCGUAAAACUCUUUUUUAAGGGAAGAAAAAGUACGUUAGUAACUGACCGUACCUUGACGGUACCUUACCAGAAAGCCACGGCUAACUACGU
rnacentral:rRNA from 1 species